CCUACGGGAGGCAGCAGUAGGGAAUCUUUCACAAUGGGCGAAAGCCUGAUGGAGCAACGCCGCGUGCAGGAUGAAGGCCUUCGGGUUGUAAACUGCUUUUAUAAGCGAGAAAUAUGAUGGUAACUUAUGAAUAAGGAUCGGCUAACUACGUGCCAGCAGCCGCGGUCAUACGUAGGAUCCGAGCAUUAUCCGGAGUGACUGGGUGUAAAGAGUUGCGUAGGUGGCAUAAUAAGUAGCUAGUGAAAUCUGGUGGCUCAACCAUUCAGACUAUUAGCUAAACUGUUAAGCUCGAGACCGUUAGAGGUAACUGGAAUUUCUAGUGUAGGAGUGAAAUCCGUAGAUAUUAGAAGGAACACCAAUAGCAUAGGCAGGUUGCUGGGACGGUUCUGACACUAAGGCACGAAAGCGUAGGGAGCAAACGGGAUUAGAUACCCUUGUAUUC
rnacentral:rRNA from 1 species